rnacentral:rRNA from 1 species
CUUGGUCAUUUAGAGGAAGUAAAAGUCGUAACAAGGUUUCCGUAGUGAACAUACUAAUUAGUAUCCUUCAUGAAGCCUUGGAAUUUAGUCACAUGUUACAACGAGGAGCGUAGCAAUAUCAGUAGUUCUACCUAGAAUGUAGCGGAUUUAGUUUAUAGUAAUGAAAUACUUUAAACUUAGGGGGGGUGCCACAUGAUAUUAGACCUGGGAAAUCUUAUAUUCACUGUGUUCACCCUUGACCCAUUUCCGCGUCCUAGGUAUGACGCCCCAACUGCCUUGAUUGUCUACGUAAUCCUUGCUGUCAGUGGCGAUGCCGUCCCUGUGCUAGGAUGUCGGAAAGACAACCAGCAGCUAUAUCAGUAAGUCUAAUAUAGUCCACAGAUCAAACGACGGUGGUCCAGAGUUCUUUUUUUGUUUUAUUAACUGAAGCGGGUGUAUGCCCGGGGAUGUUAAUAGUCUUAAACCCAUAGAAAAGAAUUUGGAUUCAGGUAUGACCGGCCUACUCUUGAAAAAGAGAUAGACUAUGCGUUCCGUAGGUGAACCUGCGGAAGGAUCAUUACAGAGUCAUUAUGGGUUAACACCCUAAUACUCCACCCUUUGUUUACAUUACCUUUGUUGCUUUGGCAGGCCCGUUUUAACCGCCGGCUUUUGCUGGUCAGUGCCUGCCAGAGGACCAAAACUCUUGUCUAAUCAUAUUGUCUGAGUACUAUAUAAUAGUUAAAACUUUCAACAACGGAUCUCUUGGUUCUGGCAUCGAUGAAGAACGCAGCGAAAUGCGAUAAGUAAUGUGAAUUGCAGAAUUCAGUGAAUCAUCGAAUCUUUGAACGCACAUUGCGCCCUCUGGUAUUCCGGGGGGCAUGCCUGUUCGAGCGUCAUUACAACCCUCAAGCUCUGCUUGGUAUUAAGCCUCACCUGUAAAGGCGGGCUAUAAAAUCAGUGGCGGUGCCAUCUGGCUUCAAGCGUAGUAAAUUUUCUCGCUUUGGGGACUUGGUGUGUGCUUGCUAAACCCCAAUUUAAUUUAAAGGUUGACCUCGGAUCAGGUAGGGAUACCCGCUGAACUUAAGCAUAUCAAUAAGCGGAGGA